AGCGAACGCUGGCGGCAGGCCUAACACAUGCAAGUCGAACGGACCCUUCGGGGUUAGUGGCGGACGGGUGAGUAACACGUGGGAACGUGCCUUUAGGUUCGGAAUAGCUCCUGGAAACGGGUGGUAAUGCCGAAUGUGCCCUUCGGGGGAAAGAUUUAUCGCCUUUAGAGCGGCCCGCGCCUGAUUAGAUAGUUGGUGGGGUAAUGGCUCACCAAGGCGACGAUCAGUAGCUGGUCUGAGAGGAUGACCAGCCACAUUGGGACUGAGACACGGCCCAAACUCCUACGGGAGGCAGCAGUGGGGAAUCUUGCGCAAUGGGCGAAAGCCUGACGCAGCCAUGCCGCGUGGAUGAUGAAGGUCUUAGGAUUGUAAAAUCCUUUCACCGGUGAAGAUAAUGACUGUAGCCGGAGAAGAAGCCCCGGCUAACUUCGUGCCAGCCGCCGCCGUAA
rnacentral:rRNA from 1 species